CCUAACUCAACCCUACAAAACCGGCUUGUAGGGUGAGGAUUGCCCCCACUUAUAAGGACAUGUUCAGGCCAUAUAUUGUCCGAUGUGGGACUCUUAACACACCCCCUCACGCCCAGGACUAGACAACUGGAGCGUGGAAAUAAAUGGUGGGUGGCCCGAUAGCGGAAACCAUAGAAGGUGGUCCACCGGAUCUUAAACGAGGCUCUGAUACCAUGUUAAGAAAUGUGGUUAGGCCUAACUCAACCCUACAGAAGGAUAGACAUUUUCCUUCAUAAUGUUGGUUCUCACAAAUGCUUAGUUGAGGAUAUAGUAUAUAUUAAGACUUUGAGUUCCACUGAAAUUCAUCUUAUUUGCUUUUAUGUGGAUGACUACUGAUUACUGGUAGCAGUUCAGCUGGUAUUGAGUCGCUCAAGGAAAAGUUUAAAGAAGGCAUUUGAAAUGACAGACUUGGAAAUCCUAACAUAUUUUGUGUUACCGAAAAGGGAAUUUUUAUGUACCAGAAGAAAUAUAUUUCAAAUGUACUAAAUAAGUUCAGUAUGAUGGGGUGUAAUCCUGCAGAAACUCAAGCUUAGUUAAAUGUGAAGGUUUUAAGAACUGAAGACGAGGCUUCAGUUGAUGGAACCUUGUUCAAGAAAAUUGUUGGUGGCUUGAGGUAUAUGAUUCAGUGUUAGAGAAUAAAAAUCAUCACCUUUUAACUUCUCUUCAAGACACACAAAGAGGACUCUUAACAACUCCUAAUCAACGUUCUUCUAUAGAACAAGCACUAGUGAAUGUAGAAGGAACCAACAUGGGUGAACCUAUUGAUUUGAUUUUGAACAAACUCCACGGAACCUGGCGCCUCCACUAUACUUCUGCUCCCGAUGUUCUCAUUCUAUUCCAUGCUGCUGCUGCUGCU